GCCAGAGUGGUACAGUGGUUUGAGCAUUGGGCUAUGACUCUGGAGGCCAGGGUUAGAAUCCCUACUUGGCCA